GGCCUAGUAGCGCAGUGGUUAACGCGUCGCACUGUAAGUUACUCAACAAAAAGAGCAAAUCACAAGAACAUCAAUACUAACAUUCCAACUAGUGUAAUGCGGAGAUUCCCGUGUUCAAAUCACGGCUGGGCCU
rnacentral:tRNA from 1 species